GACGAACGCUGGCGGCGUGCUUAAUACAUGCAAGUCGAACGGAAAGGCCCUGCUCUUGCGGGGUGCUCGAGUGGCGAACGGGUGAGUAACACGUGAGUAACCUGCCCUUGACUUUGGGAUAACUCCAGGAAACUGGGGCUAAUACAGGAUAGGAUCUCCUGCUGCAUGGGGGGGGUUGGAAAGUUUCGGCGGUUGGGGAUGGACUAGCGGGUUAUCAGCUUGAUGGUGGAGUAGGGGCUUACGAAGGCUUUGAAGGGUAGCCGGCCUGGGAGCGUGACCGGCCACAUUGGGCCUACGAGAGGGCCCAGAAGCGUACGUGAGGCAGCAGUCGAGAGUAUUGCAGAGCGGGCGGGAGUGUGAUACAGCGAUGCUGGGUGCGGGAUGACGUCCUUCGGGUUAUAAACCACUUUCGCCGGUGACGUAGCGUGAGUGACGGUAAUGGGUAAAAAAGCACCGGCUAACUACGUG
rnacentral:rRNA from 1 species